UCCUGAAUCUUCUCCUGUUCUUUAGGCAGCAGCAGCUCCAAGGGUGAACUGUUGCUCAGCAGAGAAAUGGCAGGAAAAAAUAGGACAUUCGCUUCUGGCCUUAGUCCUGUUGGAACACAAAAAGUGGAGUCUGCAAUGCUGUUGGAGACUCAACAGGUCAAAUACAUCAGUAAUGGGCAUGGUAUGGCUGGGAUCAUACGGAGACAGUCCUUAGAGCACUGAAAAUGUGAUCAUCCUGAAUCCCAUAAGGAUCCUUAUGAGGUUAGAAGGGACAAUGUGGCUCCACUUUGACGACUGACAGCAGUUGCUUUGUCCUCCCAUAGGUAUAAGGGGAAAAUCUUUUGCAGAAUUCACUCAGCAAGUCAAUCAACAAGAAGACACAGAUCCUUGGGGAACAAGGGGUGCUUUCCUCACAGAAAGUUGUUUCCAAUAAACCAAUUUCUGCUGCUUA